UCCUUCUUCAAUCCUAUCUAUGAGGCCUUUGACGCUGCCCUCUCCCUCCACACCAACCUCCAUGACCUUGCUUUUCCCCUCCAUGAUAGCUCCCUCCAUCUUCAUCUCUUUUUCAUUGAUGAUUCCUCGUAUAUGAGCAAGGAUAUUUUCAUCCAUUGAAAUAAAAAGUCAGUAUAAUUUGCUAGUAAGUGAAUGACAGGAUCAUUUUGGAACAUCUCAAAAAGUUAAAAAACUAGUUUGAUAUCUGUUAAAAUCGAUGAGGUAUUAAUAAAAUUGAGCUAAAGUUGAGGGGGUAUUCCUAUAAUUUAUUCAAA
rnacentral:lncRNA from 1 species